AGUUUUAUUAGUAUUGAAAUUUAAAGAAAUAAUGCGACAAAUGUAUUCCGUAAAAAAAUGAAAAUAAAACUUGCUUCUAGAUUCUACAGUAUUGUAGUGUACUUUGAACUUACAAAAAGUCAGCAACUCUGUAGAAGUUACUGUAGAUCUACUGUACUGUGUACAGUAGAAUUGCAAGAAUUUCAACGAAAGAAAUUUAAAAGUUUUUUUUUAGAAAGAUGCUACUAUUAGAUCUACCAAGGUGCCGUUUUAUCAACGAUCGUACGCCCGGUCGUAGCUAAGAUUUGGUCGUACGACCGAUCUUACGGCUACGUCGCGUUUUAUCAACAUGGUCGUAGCUAAGACGUCGUAGAUUAACGUCGUAACUUUAAGGCUGCUUCAGACCAGUCGUAAGUAGGCUAAAGAUCUUAAAAAUGGCGGCCAUUUUUGCAUAAUUCCCGAUAGGAACUUUCAAACACAAAUAUUUGAACAAUUGAAGUUUUCAACUAACGUAGGUUUUCCGCGUACAUGUUUAUGUACAGUGCUGAUCCUAUUUAACAUCCCAGGGACGCAACUAUCACUUUCAGUUUAAUCUCUGGAUAAUUUCCACAAAGAAGCUAUGACCUUUCAAUGAAGUUGCUACAGUAUCUAGGUGAAAGACAUGUGCUAAUAAUGUAAAAUCAACAUGGCAACAUAUGAUGUUAACAUAAAGUACAGUGCUGUAAUGGGAAUGCAAAUGAAACUGGAGCACUGUUGUUUGCUAAAGCCAAAAUCUGAUUAAAGCACUACACCUCACCUUUUGGUUAUGUGUUGUUAUGUGCUUUACACAAAUUAAGGUGGAACAUGUGAAAUGCAAUUAAUUAUGGUGAUUAAAAUAUUCAUUGUUUUAACACAUUUCUUGUUAUAUAAUAUGUAUGGACCAAAUCAAAAUAUUGUAGAGAUAUUCCUUUUCCCCUAAUAUAUUUAUAUGGUAUUAAUGAUAAUCAGUUAAGUACUUUAUAUUUUUUUCUAAAAUAUAAUUAUCAGUCAUUAAAACUUCAAAAUAAGUUUGGCUAUUUAAAAUAACUUAUUUUGUAUUAGUCAUUUAAAGUGGGUGACCUACUAUCUUAGAUAUGAGAUAUCUCUUUCACCCCUCAUUUGUUCUAACAUUGAUACUGGAAAAAACAUGUAUGUCCCAGUUUGACAGUACAUUGAUAGUUAUGUUGAAAAUCACACAUAAUAUUUUUUAUCAACAAUUAUAUAGCAGAUUUUUCUUUAAUUUCAUGUCACAUUGAUACUUAAAAAUUGUCUUUCAUGUAAUGUUUCAGAAAAUGAUGUAAUAUAUCAAAGUUCCAUGUUGUAAGUUGACUUGUCAGUGUUAAAAAUUUUGAAAAUUGCCUUGAGUUAAACAUUUUCUAAAAAAAAUACUAAAAAAAGAAAAUUAACAAACAAAAGGUUUAUUUGUUGAUGAAAUAUUUAUUCUAGAAAUAAUCAGGGAUGAUGGGUGAAGUGUCUUAAUGAUUUUGGGAUGUGAAGUGUCUUCAGAUGUUAAGUGUCUUGUUUCCACAUUUAAACAAAUACUAUUGUAAUAUAUUGUAGUAAUGUUAGAUUUGUGGAAAUCAUUAUCAUAUUUACUCAUAGGUUUGUUAAAGUUUAUGUAGAUAUUAUCCUAGUAGGCUUCUUUUCAGGUAUCACUUGAUUUUCUUUUAUACAUGUACAUGCUAUAUAGAGUCUAUGAAAUUGUAGCUGAAUUUUUAUCUGAUUUUCCUUACAGAUAUAAGGCAGCAUGAAUAGUUAGUACUUGGUGCAUCUGCUGAUCAAUGUGUUUGUAAAAGAGAUGAGGCUGUAUAUCACCAGGAUUACUGCUGAAUUAUGGAAGGUUUACAGCUAAACAAUCCUAUGGUUGGAAUCAAUAUCCAAGGACAGCUUUCCCUUAAAGGGGCCAAGUGUUGUGACCUUGUUAUAUGGCCAACAAAGGACAUAAAAGUCAGUCCUAAAGAUAGCUAAGAAGAAAGUUAUAUAGACUAUUAAACAUUUCAUCAAUUUAUAUUGAAUAAAGUAGGUUAUGUAUAAUUUCAUACAUUCCAUAAAAACUUUGUUUCUACAUGCACAUGAAUAAAAAUAACACUUGAGUAUGGUCACAAAGGGAUAGUCAGUGAUCUACAAUUAUUAUCCUGGAUGCAUGUAGGAUGCUUUAUGUGAAUGCUUGUUUUAUUAAUGAUUAAUGAAAACAUAUACAUAGGUUAAAGUCUUUUAGUUGUUUCUGAGUGUAUACCUUGGAUGGUACAUGUUUGUACUGACUGUAUAUUCACUUGUCUUAAGUGUAUUAAUGUAUGUCAAAAUGAAAUAUUUAUAUUUCAUGAAGUGAUAACUUUACUGAAUCAUUCUCUUGAAUACAUGUAACAUUAUGAAAUGUUUGAUUCAUGUUCAAAACUUGAAAGGAAUACACAGCAAAAUGAUGUACUUCUCUGUAUAGUGACUACAAAAACAAAGAUUUGUGUGUUACAAUUCAUCUGAAAGUAAAAUGACAUGAGAUAAAUCAAAGUAACAUACACACAUGUGUUUAUAUUGAUAUUUAUUGAUUUUUUGUUACAUGAAUGUAUUAAAAAUUGUUGGGAUGAAUAUUAAAAACACAAAGAAAAUAACACAAAAGGGACAAUAAUGAAAAUAAACAAUCUUAAUGUAAAUCUGUGAAACUUUCUACAGAAUUCCCUGGAAGUGACAUUUUAUAUUUAAUGUGCUAAAUUUAUUAUUUGUCUUAACUGCUCUUGUCUGAAUAGUGUCUUAACUGCUCUUGUCUGAAUAGUACCCUGUGUCUGUUAAAACAUAUUGUUUUUAUAUUGUUAUCUAGUUUCAAGACUGUUUUCUAGCAGAUAUGUACAUAAAUUCUAAACAGGUAUUAUUAAAAAUUAAUAUGAAUUAGAAUAUUGUAACAUGUCAUUUCAAUGUCAUAAUUUUCUUUGCAAUAUGUAUUCAUUGUCAUACUGGAAUAAUAAUAAUAAUAACUAGAAAUGUGUCAUCAUGCCACGGAUGCCCCCGCAUGCAGCCAAAAUUUCAGAUGGUGCUUUAAUUAUUUUUUUCAUUUUAAGUUCAAAGCCCUUAAAACUUUUCAAUGUUAACACAAACCAUUUUCAUACAAUGUUCAAGGCACUGAAAUUAUUCAGUCUAAACCUUUUAA